AGCCGGUGAUUGUAAGGAUAAUAUUUGCUACUCUUGAAGGGUUUAUCCCAUAUGAGGAUUAUUAUUCUACCAAGAUCUCUGAGGCU